CAGUCGCCGCGGGAAUACGAAGGGUGCAAGCGUUAAUCGGAAUUACUGGGCGUAAAGCGUGCGUAGGCGGUUUCUUAAGUCUGCUGUGAAAUCCCCGGGCUCAACCUGGGAAUGGCAGUGGAUACUGGGAAGCUAGAGUGUGUCAGAGGAUGGUGGAAUUCCCGGUGUAGCGGUGAAAUGCGUAGAGAUCGGGAGGAACAUCAGUGGCGAAGGCGGCCAUCUGGGACAAUACUGACGCUGAGGCACGAAAGCGUGGGGAGCAAACAGGAUUAGAUACCCCGGUAGUCCCUGUCUCUUAUAC
rnacentral:rRNA from 1 species